AAAAUAAUACAAACGGCGUAAAGCACGACUAAAAUAAGUUACAGACUAGAGAAUGAAGCUAAACUGGGCUGUAAAAAGCCAUAAGUUACAAUAACCACAUCUAACACUAAACAAAUUCCACUCGUGAAAGUCAGGAUACAAACUAAGAUUAGAUACCUUACUAUGCCCGACUGUAACACAACAAUUAAACUACCAAUUGUUCGCCAAAUAACUACGAGUAAAAACUUAAAAUUUAAAAGACUUGACGGUACCUCACAACAGCCUAGAGGAGCCUGUCCAUAACCGAUACCCCACGAUUCACCCCACCCCCCCUAGCCAACAGUCUAUAUACCGCCGUCGCCAGCCUACCUUAUGAAAGAAACAAAGUAAGCCAAAUAGUUCAUGCACUAGUACGACAGGUCGAGGUGUAACUAAUGGGGGGGCCAAGAUGGGCUACAUUUUCUAACAUAGAAAAAACGAAUAGACUUUGAAAGAAGAAACUGAAGGCGGAUUUAGCAGUAUACUAAGAACAAAAUACCUAGUCGAAAUCAAUGCAAUGAGGUGCGUACACACCGCCCGUCAUCCCUGUUAACCAACCCACACCCAUACAUAA
rnacentral:rRNA from 1 species